GACGAACGCUGGCGGCGUGCUUAACACAUGCAAGUGGAGCGACGAACCAGGGCUUGCCCUGGGGCAGAGCCGCGAACGGGUGAGUAACACGUGGGUAACGUGCCCCGAUGACUGGGACAACCCGGGGAAACCCGGGCUAAUACCGGAUGUGCCCCCUCACAUCAGUGAGGUGUGUAAAGGAAGCUUCGGCCUCCGCAUCGGGAUCGGCCCGCGGCCCAUUAGCUUGUUGGUGAGGUAACGGCCCACCAAGGCUGCGAUGGGUAGCGGGUCUGAGAGGACGGGCAGCCACACUGGGACUGAGACACGGCCCAGACUCCUACGGGAGGCAGCAGUGGGGAAUCUUGCGCAAUGCGCGAAAGCGUGACGCAGCAACGCCGCGUGGGGGAAGACGGCCUUCGGGUUGUAAACCCCUUUCAGUUGGGACGAAGGUCGGGCGGUUAACAGCCGUUCCGGCUGACGGUACCUUCACAAGAAGCCCCGGCUAACUACG
rnacentral:rRNA from 1 species